rnacentral:rRNA from 1 species
GUACACUCCUACGGGAGGCAGCAGUGGGGAAUUUUGGACAAUGGGCGAAAGCCUGAUCCAGCAAUGCCGCGUGAGUGAAGAAGGCCUUCGGGUUGUAAAGCUCUUUUGUCAGGGAAGAAACGGUGAAAGCUAAUAUCUUUUGCUAAUGACGGUACCUGAAGAAUAAGCACCGGCUAACUACGUGCCAGCAGCCGCGGUAAUACGUAGGGUGCAAGCGUUAAUCGGAAUUACUGGGCGUAAAGCGUGCGCAGGCGGUUUUGUAAGUCUGAUGUGAAAUCCCCGGGCUCAACCUGGGAAUUGCAUUGGAGACUGCAAGGCUAGAAUCUGGCAGAGGGGGGUAGAAUUCCACGUGUAGCAGUGAAAUGCGUAGAUAUGUGGAGGAACACCGAUGGCGAAGGCAGCCCCCUGGGUCAAGAUUGACGCUCAUGCACGAAAGCGUGGGGAGCAAACAGGAUUAGAAACCCUAGUAGUCCC